AAAAAAGAGUUGCAAGACUCGAAAACCAUCGUGAACAUACCUCUCGUCGUUGCUUCGGCGGGCUGCCCGCCAGGGCGCCCGCCGGAGGACCACCAAAACUCUUUUUUCUUAGCGUAUCUCUGAGUGGACCACAAAAAUGAAUCA
rnacentral:misc_RNA from 1 species